GCAACAUGUAAAGUGUUGUAACGUUUUGGAUUUUCAUUCAUGUGGUUGUCCUUUCCCUCCCACCCUCACCCUCACACUUUUCUUACAUUCUAAUUUCCGUAUUUAAAUCAAAAGCGAAUUCUCCAAAGUGAUUAAUUACGAAGUUUUCAACUUAUUUGCUCUCACAAACUUCAACUUCAGCUUCAAAAUGCUCCAAAUCCAUUCUUCAAUCUAGGGUUCCACACCCAAUCCAAUCUCAAUUCUCCUAUCGUUCACUCCAUGGAGUCCUUCUGUGUCAACUCUUUGUACGCUGUUUCUCCUCAAUUGACUCUUUCACCGCGAACCAAACAGAAGAAGGCAUGGCGAGUGCGAAUUUCGAGUAUGGCUGCCACAACUGGAAAUUCUGUAAAAAACGCCGCCGUUUCGAAGCCGCUGCAGAGUAAUUCCAAGUCCAAUAACAGUGCUCUGGAGCAACUUGAUAUCGAGCGUGGCGUCUGCAUCCCUUUCCGCAAGUACUCUCCUGAGAUUGUGAGGAAUAAGGUAUUAGAAUCAAGAGGAGCUAUUUUGUCUCUAAUUUCGCGGGGAGUGGAGAUAGUCUUAAGUCUGGGCUUGUAUUGGUCUGCGUUGGUGUAUGAUUUCCUAGUUGGAAGGGAUGAAGAAGUUGUUCCAUUUCGUGCUCGACAGCUUAGGAACCUCUUGUGUGACCUGGGCCCUUCCUUUAUUAAAGCUGGUCAGGUCCUUGCAAACAGGCCAGAUAUCAUUAGAGAAGACUAUAUGAAUGAACUUUGCAUUCUUCAAGAUGAUGUCCCUUCAUUUCCAAAUCAAACUGCCUUCAAUAUCAUAGAGGAAGAACUGGGUCAGCCCCUUGAAGCUGUUUUCAGCAGAAUCUCAUCAGAGACAAUAGCAGCUGCAAGUUUAGGUCAAGUUUACCGGGCUACUUUACGUGCCACUGGCGAGGAUGUUGCUAUAAAGGUUCAAAGGCCCGGGAUAGAGCCCAUAAUUUAUCGAGAUCUCUUCCUGUUUCGCACUUUAGCUUCAUUCUUAAAUGGCUUCAGUAUACAGAAGCUGGGGUGUAAUGCUGAGCUGAUUGUUGAUGAAUUUGGUGAAAAGCUUUUGGAAGAGCUUGACUAUACACUGGAAGCCCGCAAUAUUGAAGAUUUUCUAGAAAAUUUUAAAAAUGACCCCACUGUCAAAAUUCCUCUGGUUUACAAACAACUUUCUGGGCCACGUGUAUUAGUGAUGGAAUGGAUUGAUGGUAUUAGAUGCACCAAUCCACAGGCCAUUAAAGAAGGUGGAAUUGAUCUAGAUGGAUUUCUAACAAUUGGUGUGAGUGCUGCCCUUAGACAACUGUUGGAAUUUGGAUUAUUUCAUGGAGACCCUCACCCUGGAAAUAUUUUCGCCAUGCGCGACGGACGGAUUGCAUAUGUGGACUUUGGCAAUGUUGCUGUUCUUAGUGAGCAAAAUAAACAGAUUCUAACUGAUGCUGUUGUACACGCCGUGAAUGAGGACUAUGCUGAGAUGGCUAAUGAUUUCACCAGAUUAGGCUUCCUGGCAGCAGGGACUGAUGUCUCUCCAAUAGUUCCUGCUUUAGAAGCAAUUUGGCAGGACUCUUCUGGAAAAGGAUUGGCAGAUUUUAAUUUUCGUAGUGUCACUGGAAAGUUUAACCAGUUGGUUUACAAUUAUCCCAUUCGAAUCCCUGAAAGGUUUUCACUCGUAAUUCGUUCUUUAUUGACUCAAGAGGGCAUCUGUUUUACUCUGAAGCCUGACUUCAAAUUUCUUGAGGUUGCCUAUCCAUAUGUGGCUAAGCGAUUACUAACAGAUCCAAAUCCAGCUCUACGCGAACGACUCAUACAGGUUCUAUUCAAAGAUGGUCUUUUCCAAUGGAAGCGACUUGAAAACCUUAUUGUUCUUGCAAAGGAAAACGUGGCCAAAAUGAGCAGCAAUCCAGCAUUGCAAGUGAGAAACACGCAAACCCAGAGAAACUGGAAAGUUGCAAAAAAACUGGACCUUACAGACACAAUCAAAGACGGAGCUCGCCUUUUCUUUGUUGACGAAGGAAUCCGCCGGCAGCUUCUACUUGCUUUGACUGAGGACUCAAAGCUUCAUAUAGAAGAGCUUGUCGAUGUGUAUAGGUUGGUUGAAGAUCAAAUAGAUAUACCCUCAGUGGCUGUAGAAGUAGCUCGAGACUUCCCAACUGUUGUCAGGGAUAUCCUACUUUCAUGGAGCGCGUCCGUCUUAUCGGAUAGAUAGUUGAAUUUUUGGAUGGCCCAUAACAAAUACAAAUAUUGUUUCAGUCAGAUGACAUAUAGCUUAUUUAUUUCAAGGUUGAAGAAGCUUCACAAAAUUCAGUGUCAAACACCGUUGGAACCCGAAAGAGAAUGUAGAACGCAAAACCAAACUAGCACAGUGUGAAAAAGCAAAGUCAAGUUAGACUCAUUGAGUUUUAAGCAUUAUCAUGCAAUUAUAUGUGAUGUCAAUUUAGUUGACUAUCUGAUUAUAAUAAUUUUCAUAAAAACAGUAUAUGGUAUUGGCAACUUUAAUUAAGACAAUAAAAGGUUAUGACUGUUGUAACCUCGUAUGAUGGAGUGUUACUUUAUUUGGUUUGCGGUUGUUGUUUAAUCGUGUGAUAACCUACAGUAUUUUUAUUUUUUA